rnacentral:lncRNA from 1 species
AAUCCACUAUAUAAAUGUAUGUGAGUACAACCACGUCCUCCAUGUUCAACAACCUGAACAGAACAGAGACUCAAGCUACAAAGAGCUACCUCCAACACAAGAACAACAACAACAAGAGAGCAACACAAAGCUUCAAAACCAGCAGCAACCAAACGACCUCAGCUCACAAGGAUUCCGGCAACCAGAGACUAAGCCCACCGUACAAAUCCAAGAUAAAUCAGUCAACAACACCUCUGCCAAAUUUCAG